CUUCCCAGUAUGAAAGCUGCAUGAUCCAUAGUCAUCAAGAUUUUAAAGGAUUUGACCAGCAAGAAUGACAUUAUCCUAAAGGGGUAACUGCUCAGCUUGCGUCUUCAUCUCUCCUUCCGACUUCCCGAUGGGUAACCGACAUCUGAACCAUCCAUGUUUCCCCUGCAGAAUUACCUCGUCGGUCUAGAAGGAGAAAAAGCCAACAGAAACAUAAAAAGGAAAAACAUGAGGUGGUCCCCAUGGGUCAUGGCGCUCAGGACGGGAUGAGUCCCAAGGAUUUAAACUUCAGAGCCAACCAGCGAGGUAGGUGAUGACAGUUGUCCUAACAUUCUGAUUUGCCACGGUUUU
ensembl:lncRNA